rnacentral:lncRNA from 1 species
UUUUUCCGUGUUUUUGUUGCUUUCAACACUACAGGCUGAUCCUACUAGCUACGACAGUUUUACCAACAAAUGUUUAGCCGUUUCGUGCUGCAACUAGUAGUCCAUUUUCUAGGAUGUAAUGCCUAAAAUUGGAAUUCAGCUAUCAGAGAUUAUCAAAAUUCAAUCGGAAACUCUAGAUGGCGUUUUUGCGCGUUUAAGAUGAAGAUUAUGAGUGACAAGCUAAAUGGGUGUUUGUUACGUUACGCUGUUAUGUAUUUCAAAGGAUUUUUCGUCAAAAAAUUUACGAUUGCUUUUUGUCUGUGUUGGUGUUUUGCCUUGUCAGCUAUGCUAGCUGCUGAACCAGCAGCCUGCAUUCCUGCUAUCAAUGUACCACAAGAGAUCCUGACACUUUGAGAAGGCCACUAUUGCUUGCAUGAAGAUCACCAUCCAGUUCAAUCAAUGACAGAGUCUUCAUCUACUUUGUGUUGCCAACUAUCCACCCUAAGCAUCCCAGGUAUCCAGAUUUCCAAGUUUCUCUGAUUAGCCAACCAUCAUCAAAACCCUUCAGCUCUUCAAUGUGGCUUCUCUUCCUCUCUUCUUAAUCUGCUGAAUGCCAACAUUGAAUAAGAUUCAUCAUCAUUGCCUUUCCAUGCUCACAUGGAUAGGCUUUAACAGCAUCUCCAUUUUUUGGACUGCAAAUAUUCAUCUUCCUUCGGUACGACACUGCCGUUUUGACAAUUUCGGCAGUUUCGCCCCCAGUGGACCACACGCAACUACAUUUUCUUCGUCUUCCUGUCGUUGUUGUCAACGACUUCAUCUCAUCACCUCAUUGAUGUCUUCGCCUUGAUCUCCGUCUCGUCAUCUUCUCCUUCAUCUCCGUCUCGUCGUCUUAGUCGUCUUCUCCUUCAUCUCCGUCUCGUCGUUUUAGUCAUCUUCGCCUUCAACUCCAUCUCGGCGUCUUCGCCGUCUUUGUCUACGCCAUCACCUCGUCGCCGGCUUCUCUUUCGCUCUGCACGUUGGGAAUUCACCGUGGAUCUUCGCUCUGGUAUUGUUUUGUUUUACAUUAUUAUGUUUAAGUUAACCCGUUGGCUGCCACCCCGUUUGCGUCCCAUUUUUGUUGUAGCUUGUAGGGACCGGCCGCAAUGGCCUUCGCCGCAAGGCGCCUUAGG